GAUGAACGCUGGCGGCGUGCUUAACACAUGCAAGUCGAACGAAGCACUUUAUUUGAUUUCCUUCGGGACUGAUUAUUUUGUGACUGAGUGGCGGACGGGUGAGUAACGCGUGGGUAACCUGCCUUGUACAGGGGGCUAACAGUUGGAAACGGCUGCUAAUACCGCAUAAGCGCACGGCAUCGCAUGAUGCAGUGUGAAAAACUCCGGUGGUAUAAGAUGGACCCGCGUUGGAUUAGCUAGUUGGUGAGGUAACGGCCCACCAAGGCGACGAUCCAUAGCCGACCUGAGAGGGUGACCGGCCACAUUGAGACUGAGACACGGCCCAAACUCCUACGGGAGGCAGCAGUGGGGAAUAUUGCACAAUGGGCGAAAGCCUGAUGCAGCGACGCCGCGUGAGCGAAGAAGUAUUUCGGUAUGUAAAGCUCUAUCAGCAGGGAAGAUAAUGACGGUACCUGACGAAGAAGCACCGGCUAAAUACGUG
rnacentral:rRNA from 1 species